rnacentral:lncRNA from 1 species
CCCGCCGUGAUAUUGCUGGAAUAUUGCUAAAAGCGGCGUAAAACCAUACUCACUCACUCACUCAAUCACUCGCUUAAAUUAAGAGGACCAGCAACAAGGGAGCACAAUUGAUGCCGAUGGGGAUGCCUACUUCUUGCCCAAAAUUCCACAUAGAUGUUAUCUAUGAGUAAAUCUAUCAUUUUACAUAUUGCUUUCCCAGUAAACUUGAGAUGGCAUUUGCUUUCUUUUUCACAAAUUUUCAUGAACCGUUUUUGAAUGUCGAGGCAGUGACAGAUGCCCAAUGAAUUGUGUUGUAUAUAUAUAUAAUAUAUAUGUCUGAAACUGAUAUAAAGAAGAUGAUGGACUAACGUGAACACUAUUAUUUUAUUAUAUAUUACAUGUACACCGAGUGAACAUUUACCUCAUUUUUGUAUAUAUAUAUAUUAUAUUACAUUUCAUGUAAAACUAUUAAUGUGUGCCUUCUUACCUAUACUGCAUAGUAAGGUGUACAUCCCGACAGUUUGACGGUGUGCAUGGCUGAGCGAGAGAUGGAAGUUUGCAAUGUGAAACGCUUACUGUAUGUUGCACCUUUUUCUAAUUUGCAUACAUGUACAUAUUUGGUGAGCAUAAAGCUUUAGUUCUUACUAACUUACCUUGCUUGCUUUUAAUGGUAAGUGACGUUAUUAUUACAUGAGUUUGGGUGCCAUAUUUAUAUAUUAAUAUCAGCUAUAAUAUAUUUGCUAUAAUGAACAUUGUAAUCUGAUUACAACAAUUUAUGACCAAUCAUUUCUUUAGUUUUACAAAGUGUAAAAUACAAACAGUGCUUUGCUUUAUUUUGAAUUGGUUUAUGCAAUGUAUGGCACAAUCGUAACCUGUACAUGUAGCUGCAUCUAUAGUAGAAGGCACAACAGACACGCCUUGCCAAAAGAUGAAGAUUCAACUGUAGAGAUGUCAGUCCAAACAGAAAUCAUGGAGGGUAGCCAUCUGAAUACGGUGAAUGUUAACUUAGAUGCUCCUGUUUCUAGAACGUAAGUAUUGUGUUAAUGCUUUGACAGUGAGAGUGGCAUUAUUAUUUCCGGGUCGAUAUAUAGUCUUUCGGUAACUUUAACGUUUGUUUCCCUUUGAGUUAAAUAAACUAAAUGUACUGUGAAUGUCCUUCAGAAGGACGGAAAAUGGCUAAAGGAUGAAAAAUGACACCAUUAAUUAUAUACCAUGUGUUAUCCUUGCAUAUCAAUUAUGUCACCAUGCCGCCGUUUCAAAGAUUUAUUGGAAUGGUAUGUAUAUCUGUUUUCGGUUUCAGUAAAGUCGAAUUUCCACGAUCCAGUCUCCAAGCAAUAUAUUACUGACCAGCGUUAAGAAGAUCUGAUGAUUCAUCCUCGAGACAUAUAUUGCUUGAGCAUGAUGUGCAACUUUACACGUCUCGUGGUAUACUCCUCUCCAUUUCACGUUGGAACUAAAAUUAUGUCGACAUUAAUUGAAGGACAACCACGCUUGUUUCUACACCAGACAACUUUCUAUUACUGCUUCACAGACGCCUGAUCAUGACCUCAACUAUGCGAUACAGAUUAUUGCCACAUUGGCACCUGACUGCAAUAAUAAUUAAAUAUCCCAAGAUGUUAUUUACUUACAAAUCCAUACGAAAAAAAGCAAUGUACGAAUACAAGAAGCCCAUGUUUUCUUUCCAAGACUAUCGAGGUGUACGAGCAUGUUGUAGGCUUUCUUAGGUAAACGGUGUUGAGGAAUUAUUAUUAUUUUCACCAUUACUUCAAGCAACGAGUGUAAGAUACCAUGUACAAUUGGUAUCUCCCGCAUUCUCCAUAAACCAUAUGACUUGGUGUUGACAUACCAACAUUCAAAAACAUUUUACAAGCGAGGAGAUAAACCUUUCCAAUUGUAUAGAACUCUUUACAACCGCAAUAUAUCAGACUCAUAUAGUAAAAUAGGUUCUAUUUGAGAAUCAAAUAAUUUAAAAUACAUUUUCGGUGAAAUAACUCCAAGCUGAGAGAUAACAGAGGGGACUUGUAACAGAGCCCUCUUUGCUCUGUUUGUGAGAUUAAGUAUAGACGUAUUCAGAUUCAGUGUAUGGGUAAACAAUAUGCCAAGGUAUUUGAAUUCAUUCACAACAUUAAUACUCUGACCUUUAAAAAAACAUUUCUCUCUUGCGGCUACUCGACCACCUCUACGAAAUAUAACAAUAUUUGUUUUAUCAAGAUUAGUACUAAGUUUCCAUUUAUCUAAAUAUAUCCCGAAAGUAUGUCAAACUGCUUCUGUAGACCAAGAAUAGUACUCGACAUCAUAAUCACAUCAUCUGCAAAAAGUAGCAUGAAGUUCUUAUAAAAGUUCUUAUAUGUCUAUCAGACUGCAUGAUAUCAACAUAUAACUUAUUUAUAAAAAAUGAGAAAAAUAAAAAUAUUAAAACACAUCCUUCGGCGUGACGAGUGAACGCUUUAACCACUAGGCUUAGAAAAGGUUUUAUACACAUUUCACAGUAGCGUUUUCUGUUGUAUUCACUGUGUCAAUAAUCACCAACACCCCAAGGGAUGGUGUAUAUCCUGCAGGGGUCCAUGCAGGUAGCAAAAUUACUGUAAGUCUCCAUGGUCCCUAGUGUGGUGAUCUGCCUUCAGUUACUGGCGAUCUAUAACACAUUUUAUAUGUUGUGUUUUUAAUGCUAAUUUAUAUCUUUUAUGCUCUCCAACUAGUUUUACGUAAAUCUGUGAUAUUAUGGUUAUUGUACUGUUCUUCGACGACAUGACUUUAUACAGUUAAAAUAUGUAACAUUUGGUCUCGUCACGACAUGGCUGAAAUAUUGCCGAUGUGACGUUAAAUUUAUCUCACUCUCUCACCCAGACAAAUGAUAAACAAUGUUAGCCAACAUGUGGCGUUCCCAACCCGUACACGGAUCAUAUCCACAUGAUGUCCCCCCAUGCUUAAUAUCAGACGCCUCAUCCUCCACUGAGAGAUGUGUUGCUGUUGCCUGGGUCAAUUCUUGAAGGUUUUGUACUGGAGGAUCCCUGGCUUUAACCCUAAGCCCUAAGUAAUCCCACAGAUGCUCGAUUGGAUUCAGGUCUGGGCUACGAGAAGACCACGGUAGAGUCUCUUUGACGUUGUUCUUGAGAUGGUUAGUCACCUGACAUUUGACUAAAUCAAGUUGACAACCUUAUCCUGCUCAAUUCACUCGACGCCUCUGUUGUGGGUAUGUGAGCAAUGACGAAAAACAGUGCAAGUUGAAGUUGGCAGCAGUUUUGCCUGCUGUACACGGACCUUGUCCUCUCUGGCACUGUUCUUCGUGGACGUCCUGAUCUGGGCAAGUCCCUCACCUGUCAAGUCAAUGUGUGUGACUGAUUACAGUAUGAUUAAUGUUCAACACGCUGGCAAUAACACGAUAUCACAUGCCACUUUGGUACAUGCCAUUGAUUUGACAUCAUGGAUUUUCUGUGACUGUAUGUUUAGGCCUUACAAUCGUUCCAAAGGCAGACCUUCAAACUGGAAGAAUUCCAUUCCAUUCAAAACUCGUUGGAAGCGUAUCCAAUACAUAUUAUUAUUAUGUGGCUGUAUUCAAAACAAUGAUUCUAACUGUUGUUAUGUGUCAAUUUUCGGAAGCCUGACCACUGUCGCCGCUAGGCGAAUACAUCACUGACUUUUGCUAUCAUCACUGUAUCUGUGUAUUUGAUAUUGACCACUGUCAUCAUAUUAUAUAUUGCCACUGAAUAUUGAACUACCACUUUAUUGUGUCUUGCCAUUUUAUGUCCUGUGCACUAAUUUGUAUUGAUUUGUAAACCUAGUGAAUUUUGUUAUACAAUAUUUGAUUGUC